rnacentral:sRNA from 1 species
ACAAUGUCACUCGUUGCCGUGAUUGGCCACGUGUGGUUUCGGGACCCUUGACAUUGUGUGGAUGAUAAGUCUCAACCUAAGUCCACUGUACCAGCUACGUCAUCUUCCAUGUUACUUGUCAUUCAGGGCUGAUCCCAACCAACGCAGUUUUGACAAAUUGACCAACAGGUUUGCACAAUACAAUUAAAAAAAAACCUUUUCACUGUACAAUCAAAAAAUGCACCAAGAGAGAUUGCACUUCAGAAAUAUAUCAGAUAAAGUCCUACAAACGGCAUCUCAGAAGACUUGAAGCCACUGUACAUGACCAUCAAAAAGGAAUGAUCUGUGUGUUUUAUUUCCAUGUUUGUCAGGUUAUCCUAGAUCUACGGAAAUAUCUGAGCACAUUUAAUCGUCCCAGUCCUUCUUGAUUUCAAACUUCCACUUCCACUCCAGGAUGGAGUUGCGGUCGUCGUCUGUGAACUUACUCUCCACUGUGUAUGACCCCCGCACCAGCAUACCAGAGGGGGCCUCAUCUAUAGGGGUCAGGUAUUCGUGGGCUGUCUCCUUGGGUCCGUAGCUUCCAACCAUGAACUUUGAUUUGUCAACUGUCAAACAAAGAUUAAAAGGAGUAUUAAAAGAUUUGAACAUCUACAGUGUCACUUGAAUGCAUUCUACAUAUAAAACACUAUGCCACAUUCUUUAAAUAUUUCAUGUCCAUACUUUAAAUAUGGUAAAAAUAAAGAUGCAGAGA